rnacentral:tRNA from 1 species
GGGGAUAUAGCUCAGUGGUGGAGCACUUGCUCACCAUGCAUAAGACCCUGGGUUCAAUCCCCAGUACCA